GUCUCUUGUGAUUCCAGAUGGUCUCAGACACAGAUCUAACCCUUAAAGUGUUCUGGAAGGAGCUGUCUAACGUCCUUCCCUGUGUGGGGUCAACUGAGGAAUCCUGGGUCAGGGUCUCUCUAAGGACACUGAGAUCCGCCUGUGCACAGGAGAGAGACUUUGAAGACUGUGUAGAGGAGUCUGAGCCUUCACUGACCAACUCUUACUUUGGGUUACACAUUCUUCAGGGCAGCUAUGUGCCGUUUCACGACGGGGACGCAUUCCGAGAAACUGCUGUGCCCGUUGGAGUGAGCCGCGGACACAGAUGGCCAAGCCCUGUGCGCGUGCACGGCCUGUUGUGUGGGGCCCGGCUGCAUUCGAUCUCAGCGCCUCACUUUGUUUCUUGGUCACAUCGCAGCUGUGGUUUGCGUACGUGUCUCCGCGGGUCCAUGUGUUAAGGCCCAGGGCAUCGGGGCCAACUGAUCACGAGCUGAAACUUCCAAACUGCAGGUGUGGUGCCACCGAGCUACAUCCCUGGCCCGAAAAAGUAAUUCU
rnacentral:lncRNA from 1 species